rnacentral:rRNA from 1 species
GUGCCAGCCGCCGCGGUAAUACGAAGGGUGCUAGCGUUGUUCGGAAUUACUGGGCGUAAAGCGCGCGUAGGCGGCUAUCCAAGUCAGAGGUGAAAGCCCUGGGCUCAACCCAGGAAUUGCCUUUGAAACUGGAUGGCUUGAGUGUCGGAGGGGAUAGCGGAAUUGCUAAUGUAGAGGUGAAAUUCGUAGAUAUUAGCAGGAACACCGGUGGCGAAGGCGGCUAUCUGGACGACAACUGACGCUGAGGCGCGAAAGCGUGGGGAUCAAACAGGAUUAGAUACCCUAGUAGUCC